rnacentral:rRNA from 1 species
GAUGAACGCUGGCGGCGUGCCUAAUACAUGCAAGUCGAGCGAAUGGAUUAAGAGCUUGCUCUUAUGAAGUUAGCGGCGGACGGGUGAGUAACACGUGGGUAACCUGCCCAUAAGACUGGGAUAACUCCGGGAAACCGGGGCUAAUACCGGAUAACAUUUUGAACCGCAUGGUUCGAAAUUGAAAGGCGGCUUCGGCUGUCACUUAUGGAUGGACCCGCGUCGCAUUAGCUAGUUGGUGAGGUAACGGCUCACCAAGGCAACGAUGCGUAGCCGAGCUGCGCGGGGGAUCGGCCACACUGGGACUGAGACACGGCCCAGACUCCUACGGGAGGUAGCAGUAGGGAAUCUUCCGCAAUGGACGAAAGUCUGACGGAGCAACGCCGCGUGAGUGAUGAAGGCUUUCGGGUCGUAAAACUCUGUUGUUAGGGAAGAACAAGUGCUAGUUGAAUAAGCUGGCACCUUGACGGUACCUAACCAGAAAGCCACGGCUAACUACGUGCCAGCAGCCGCGGUAA